rnacentral:lncRNA from 1 species
UUUACUUCCAUGUGGGAAAAAGGGUCUCCAUUCCUCUCUCCUGAAUCUAGAGCAAAGGUCAACCAAAGCCAUUAGUAGACUCAGUGCUCUCCAGCUGCCAAAACGAGUAUCUUAUCAACCAAGCGUGGGGGCUGAGAGCCAACCUGGGAGGGGCUGAGCGGGUGCCUCUGGACCAGAGACUGAGAUCCCGCAGCCCACGGAGAGGACAGACUCUCCCGAUAGACAACCCGAGGAGACCACCUGAUGAAGAAGGACCGGAAGUGUUUUACACGCAAACUCAUUCACAAAUAGAUUCAUCAAGGGGGACAGUUACCAAGUGAGAUUAAAGCCGUGGGAAGUUCAAGCGAUGAUGGAGGAAGGUAGGUGAGGAAAGGCGUAAAUGGAGGAGAGGAAUGAAUGGACAUGGAGAAAGGCGAGAGGGGACAAACAAGUCAGAGGAGAAAUGAGCAGGAACGUUGGACUUCGAACGGAAGCAGGCGCCCCGGGGCUGACGUGGUCAGGACAACCCGGAAGCCUGGCCUGGAGGGGCCAAACGACGGCCACUCGCAGAGCAGGGGCGGACGCAGAGCUGGCACACGAACACCAGCCUCCUCCGGGGUCGGGGGUGAACCCCGGCCUCACCCUCCUCUCAGGCCGGCUGGAGGGCGGGCGUGAAGGACAGCGGAGGAGGGGGAGAGGCAGCCGUUACCCUGGGGCGCACCUCUCGGCACCCUGUAAGCUCCAGGCCCGCCAGCGGCUGGGCACGCNNNNNNNNNNNNNNNNNNNNNNNNNNNNNNNNNNNNNNNNNNNNNNNNNNNNNNNNNNNNNNNNNNNNNNNNNNNNNNNNNNNNNNNNNNNNNNNNNNNNNNNNNNNNNNNNNNNNNNNNNNNNNNNNGCCCGCCAGCGGCUGGGCACGCUCCACAGAGACUUGGUGGCAUUUUGUUACAGCAGCCCUGGAAACAAAUACAGGGACUAAGUCCAGAUAGAUGGGGAGGGACUCCAGGAGGCUCACGGUGCAGCUAAGCGUUGCCCAGGAAGGACAAAGGACCACCCACCAAGCCGCAGGCAGCGGAAGACACCAGAAGAGGAAAUACGGAAAACACAGACCGCAUCUUAGGCAGUGCCGCAGGGAUUUCACCGGGGACCCGAUAUUUCCUUCUCUCUGGAGAGACUUCUCGGCCCACGCCUCAUCCCUCCCCGGGAUCCCUGCUCCCUCAGUUUGCUGUGCACCAAGGUGAGGCCAAUGCCCCAACACGAACAGCUGCCUCCCGGGCUUGGUCCUUUUACGGGUGGGAAGAGAGGGCACGCCCUGAGAGACUUUCCGCAGAAGUUUCUAUUUCUAUUAUUAAAACUGAUAGAAAGUAGCCGUUUUCUCCUUCAUCGCAGUCCUGUGGAACAAGAGCUCAAAGCAGCCCCGGCUAUGUCUCUGAAACCCUGUAAUGACCUCCAAACCCUUGGCUCUCCAGCCACUAAAGUUCCUGGCCCAUGGGUUCUUAUCUUACUCCUUUCCAGUUCUCCCACUGGGCCUAUAAGCCAUCCCAAUAACCUUUCUCCCCUCACACAAACCAGAAAUAAGUGUAAUUCACUUUAACUCACAUAGAUCUCUGUCCCUUGCUUGGAGAGGAGCUCCACUGGCAAAGCACAUCAUGGAAGAAAAGCAUUUUACCUACAUCUGACAGGUCUUUGAUGUAAGGCUACAGCCCUGUUAGCUGAGCAUUCACUCUUGAAUCCAUAGAACCUGGCUUCGGGGUCCCCUAAGACACCCCCAGAACCUAUGUAGAAUAACAGACAUCAUGUCUGCCCUUCUGAGCGAAGCAGCAUAGAUGCCAUCAGAUUCUCAGUGCCCAAAAAGAUGAGGAAUCAUUGCUGCAACCAAUGAGAUUACAAACUCCAGGCCCACGGGAGGUUUUCCUCUGCUCACAGUUACUCAAUGGCUCAAAAACCCAUUCAUUCAUUCAUCAGACAUCUACUGUGCUGUCGGUCCCAGGGCCAAGAGCUGCUGGAGGUGGAAAGAUGUCUGUGAUGCCAUGUUAUCCUCCAGGAGCUGAUGUCGCCCCCGGGUGCUGCUGGGCAUGGACAGAACAGUAACAGAAGGCAGUAAGUACCCGAAGAGGGCUCAGUAACAACGCAGCAGUGUUCCUUCUGUUCUCUGCCGAGAAGGUAAACAGAGUGCUUGACAGGUUCCUCCCUGUGAGUCGACUUUGGUAAGUCACUCUUCCCCAGAAUCUCAGGGUCUUCAUUUUUCAAAUGGAUGUAAGAAUCUUGCCAGGCCCUCUUACAGUCCUGCUGCAAAUUCUAACAGAGACAAAACAUCGGCUGCAUUGUUUGGAGCCCAAAGGUCCACAGGCCAGAUACACAGCAGGUUCUCUUUGGAGAGGCCCAAGUCGGGGCCUAGCUGCUCACUCCCUAUGUCCAGCUCAUCCCAGGCUUUCUGGAUCUCAAUCUGCAAGAUGCCCCAGGUGAGGAGGAGCAAGUUAAAGUGCAGCAGCCCCACCAGGCUGUUCCUUGCAUUGUGUCACUGUAAUACGAGAGAGGAAAAAGUCAUCGUAGGCCACAUCAUAGGGCAGGCAGCAAAGGCAGCAAAGGCCCCUGGUGCCGUGGGUGCUGCCAUUCAGAUGGAACAGGGCCUCCCAACCGGGGAUGUGCGUGGGGGUCCUGGCUGCCCUGAGCACAGGGUGCAGGGCCCUGGUCUGGAGCCAGCUCUAAACCCGGCCCUUGGUGCAGAGAAGGCUUGGCUGCCAGACGCUGCUGCAGCACUCGACCACGGUGCUCCUGCUUCCCAGCCCAGAGUGAUGCCAGCACCCUCAUCCAUCAGCACCCGCCAGGACCGAGAGCCCAUCUGGGGAGCACAGCAGCUCGGUGCUCUGCUUGUCUGAGUCCUGGGGGGCAUGGGAAGGUUCCCC